UACGUAGGGUGCGAGCGUUUAAUCGGAAUUACUGGGCGUAAAGCGUGCGCAGGCGGCGCGUUUAAGACAGGUGUGAAAGCCCCGAGCCUAACUUGGGAAUUGCGCUUGUGACUGGCGUGCUGGAGUGUGGCAGAGGGAGGUGGAAUUCCACGUGUAGCAGUGAAAUGCGUAGAGAUGUGGAGGAACACCGAUGGCGAAGGCAGCCUCCUGGGCCAGCACUGACGCUCAUGCACGAAAGCGUGGGUAGCAAACAGG
rnacentral:rRNA from 1 species